AAAAAAGAAAUGAAACAAGUGAGAGAAAUUGAAGAUGAGUUGGCUUCUUCUUCUCUCGAUGUUUCUUCCUCUUCUUCCUCUUCUUUGUCUUCUGAGUCACUAGUUCCUUUGGACCAAUUGAGAGCCAGAUUGGAAGAAGUGAAACAAAUGAGAGAGAUGAGUGUGUAAGAAAGGAGGAAAAGAAGAUGAGCU
rnacentral:ribozyme from 1 species